GGUUGAUCCUGCCAGUAGUCAUAUGCUUGUCUUAAAGAUUAAGCCAUGCACGUCUAAGGAUAAAUAUUUUUUAACCGUAAACCUGCGGAUGGCUCAUUAAAUCAGUUACAAUCUACUUCAUUGUAUAAAUUACUUGGAUAACCGUAGUAAUUCUAGAGCUAAUACAUGCAAAAAAUUUGAACUCGCAAGGGAACAAAUGUAAUUAUUAGAUAGCAAAAUCAAUACAGGUCAUUCCAAACUCUAGAUUAUACUUUUACCGGUAUUUUUUAGGGGACUUGUAAAAAAAAAUUUGA
rnacentral:rRNA from 1 species